rnacentral:rRNA from 1 species
AUGUUGGGUUAAGUCCCGCAACGAGCGCAACCCUCGCCCUUAGUUGCCAUCAUUCAGUUGGGCACUCUAAGGGGACUGCCGGUGAUAAGCCGGAGGAAGGUGGGGAUGACGUCAAGUCCUCAUGGCCCUUACGGGCUGGGCUACACACGUGCUACAAUGGCGGUGACAGAGGGAUGCAAAGGGGCAACCCUUCGCAAAUCUCAAAAAGCCGUCUCAGUUCGGAUUGGGGUCUGCAACUCGACCCCAUGAAGUUGGAAUCGCUAGUAAUCGCAGAUCAGCACGCUGCGGUGAAUACGUUCCCGGGCCUUGUACACACCGCCCGUCACACCAUGGGAGUUGGCUUUACCUGAAGACGGUGCGCUAUCCGCAAGGAGGCAGCCGGCCACGGUAGGGUCAGCGACUGGGGUGAAGUCGUAACAAGGUAGAUCAA